GGGGGGAGGGGAAGUGGCACCUCUGGGGGUAGUAUUGCCCAUGGGGAUGAUGGUGGUGGCACCUCUUGGGCUGGUAUUGCCCAUGGGGACGAUGGAGGUGGCACCUCUGGGGGUUGUGGUGGCACUUCUAGGGAUGGCAUCGCCCAUGGGGAUGAUGGAGGUGGCAUCUCUAGGGCUGGUAUUGCCCAUGGGGACGAUGGAGGUGGCAUCUCUAGGUCUGGUGUCGCCCAUGGGGACAAUGGAGUUGGCACCUCUGGGGCUAAUAUCGCCCAUGGGGACAAUGGUGGUGGCACUUCUGGGGGUUGUGGUGGCACCUCUGGGGCUGGUAUUGUCCAUGGGGACAAUGGAGGUGGCAUCUCUAAGUGUUGUGGUGGCACCUCUAGGGCUGGUAUUGCCCAUGGGGACGAUGGAGGUGGCACCUCUGGGGGUUGUGAUGGCACCUGUAGGGAUUGCAUCGCCCAUGG
rnacentral:lncRNA from 1 species